UCUCAGCAUCUCUUCUUCAAUCGCUCUCUCUGCCUCCUGGAACAUCUCAUUGGUGUAGUGAGUAGGCUGGUGGGAGGAGAUAUAGGAGGACGAGCUCAUUGCAAUGACUGGAAUAGAAUAAUUGGAACGGUAUCUAACACAUCAAACAUAUGGAAACCACGUUUGACUCCAUUCCAUUCAUACCAUUCCAGCCAUUACAAUGAGCCUGUCCUCUUAUAGCUCGUCCCACCAGCCUCCACUGGUGUAGCGACCCCCUCCAUUCAACAUGACCAUAGACUUUAGCCAUGCGUUAUUGUUGACCUCUGCCUCAACUCUGUCUAUUUCUACAGAUGUAGAGGACUGAAGAGGUUUUCGCCAGAUGCCAGCCUCGGUCGUUUGAUAGGGAGACCAUAAUUGGAAACAUGUAUGGAGCCAGCACAUAGAGACUUGCAAGAUGAUGUGAUGAAGACCAGGCGGACAGAGGGACUUGAUACUGAUGUCUCUGAAUUGAGAGAGACCUGGCACUCAGCAUAAUAUACUAGACAAAACUUUUA